GGAACUAGCUCUUGUAGACCAGGCUGGCCUUGAACUCAGAGAUCCCUGUCUCUGCCUCCAGAGUGCUGGGAUCAAAGGCGUGCGCCACCACUGCCUGGACUAAAAAUAACUUUCAAAAUACACAUAUGAUGUUUUUUAACUAUUACUGCACAUACGAUGGGUUCUUGGCACAAGCCUCACUCAUGAGCUGUGGUUGUGGAAGGACAGGCUAAACCCUGAGGGCUGCCACCUAGCACAGGACCAAUAUUGUCCUUGGGUCUCACCUUUCAGUACAAGAUCUUGUUGCACGGCUGUUGGUAUGGUCUGUUUGGAGGAAACCCUGAUAACUCUCCAACUGAACUGGACGAGGCCAACCAGAGAGCCCUGACUCAGCCUCUUCUUGGGGAGGAGAGCCUGCUGACUCGAUGCUCCCCAGGCUACAGCUCCAGCGACUCCCCACUGGAUUCUCCCACCAAAUACCCACCUCUGUACCCACCUGGCAGGAUCAUCCACCUGGAAGAAGAGAGUGGUUCAGGGAGGUUUGGCUGCUGUUCUGCUGCCCGGUACAGAGCAAGGUGGGCACAUGAAGCAGAAUUUGGCAAGAUCCUGAUAGGCCCAAAGAUGCUGACUGACCACCUGCCUAACAUCGUCAAUCAGGCGCUGGACAGAGUAGUCGCGGACAGAACAGCCUGUGUCUCCUGCCCGGGACAAGGUGGCCCUCCUGCAGCUGUGGCCUAACCCCGCUUGUGGACACUGCCCAGCACAAUGGGCUUGCACUCCCUUCCCUUUAGACUGACUGAAUGAGUGGCUUCUGUGAGGCUGGUGUGGUGGUUCCCAUUAACAGUAAGCUGGUGGGUCCCUGUAGAAUGGGCAACAGUAUGACCAUACAAUUCAGAGAAACUUUUUUCUUAAGACAGGGUUUCUAUGGAGCCCUGGCUGUUCUGGAAUUCCAUCUGGAAGACCAGGCCAGCCUCAAACUCAGAGAUCCAACUGCCUGGGAUUAAAGGCAUGUGCCGCCACCACCAACCUAUAAAACCAUUUUUAACCACAGUAUUACUAGAUCAGGAGUCGGGAACACGCAGAGGUGUUAGGACUUCUGGGACAGUUUGUGGAGCAAGCCUCCUUUAGCCACCUGAGAACUCCACAUAUGAAGACCCUCAGUGAAUCUCUAGCACUUCAAUCCCUGCCAGGACCCCAUCCCGCUGUUUACAAGAGUCUGACUCUAAGCCGACAGGUGUGCACUUUAUCUUCUUCGCCGGCAUUCGUGCGGCACUAAGGGCAGCCGGAGCGUCCUGAGCCCACUGUGGCUCCAUUUGUACAACAUGAACUGACUGCUUAACUUUCACGUAUGCGCUUAAUUCUCACAGUAGUCUAGCUCUGGAGCCAGGUGUUGGGCUCAGGGAGGAUUUUUUAAAAUAAAGUAAUUGAUACACCAUCA